rnacentral:rRNA from 1 species
UACGGAGGGUGCAAACGUUGCUCGGAAUCAUUGGGCGUAAAGCGCACGUAGGCGGUCCAGCAAGUCGGGUGUGAAAGCCCUCGGCUCAACCGAGGAAGUGCAUUCGAAACUACGGGACUUGAAUACUGAAGAGGAUCGCGGAAUUCCCGGUGUAGAGGUGAAAUUCGUAGAUAUCGGGAGGAACACCAGUGGCGAAGGCGGCGAUCUGGGCAGAUAUUGACGCUGAUGUGCGAAAGCGUGGGGAGCAAACAGG